rnacentral:rRNA from 1 species
GACGAACGCUGGCGGCGCGCCUAACACAUGCAAGUCGAACGAGCGAGCGAGAGCUUGCUUUCUCGAGCGAUUGGCGAACGGGUGAGUAACGCGUGAGGAACCUGCCUCUAAGAGGGGGACAACAGUUGGAAACGACUGCUAAUACCGCAUAAGCCCACGGCUCGCCAUCGAUCCGGGGGAAAAGGAGCAGUUCGCUUUGAGAUGGCCGCGCGUCCGAUUAGCUUGAUGGUGUGGUAACGGCCCACCAAGGCGACGAUCGGUAGCCGGACUGAGAGGUUGAACGGACACAUUGGGGGUGAGCCACGGCCCAGAAUCCUACGGGAGGGGGGAGUGGGGGACAGUGCACAAUGGGGGAAGUGCUGAUGCAGCGAGGACGGGUGGAGGAUGAAGUUCUUCGGAUUGUAAACUCCUGUUGUCGGGGAAGAUAAUGACGGUACCCAACAAGGAAGUGACGGCUAACUACGUG